rnacentral:rRNA from 1 species
CCUACGGGAGGCAGCAGUGGGGAAUAUUGGGCAAUGGGCGCAAGCCUGACCCAGCAACGCCGCGUGAAGGAAGAAGGCUUUCGGGUUGUAAACUUCUUUUCUCAGGGACGAAGCAAGUGACGGUACCUGAGGAAUAAGCCACGGCUAACUACGUGCCAGCAGCCGCGGUAAUACGUAGGUGGCACGCGUUAUCCGGAUUUACUGGGUGUAAAGGGAGUGUAGGCGGGAAAGCAAGUCAGAUGUGAAAACCAUGGGCUCAACCUGUGGCUUGCAUUUGAAACUGUUUUUCUUGAGUACUGGAGAGGCAGACGGAAUUCCUAGUGUAGCGGUGAAAUGCGUAGAUAUUAGGAGGAACACCAGUGGCGAAGGCGGUCUGCUGGACAGCAACUGACGCUGAGGCGCGAAAGCGUGGGGAGCAAACAGGAUUAGAUACCCCUGUAGUC